UACGGGGGGGGCAAGCGUUGUUCGGAAUUACUGGGCGUAAAGGGCUCGUAGGUGGCCAACUAAGUCGGACGUGAAAUCCCUCGGCUUAACCGGGGAACUGCGUCCGAUACUGGAUGGCUUGAGUUUGGGAGAGGGAUGCGGAAUUCCAGGUGUAGCGGUGAAAUGCGCAGAUAUCGGGAAGAACACCCGUGGCGAAGGCGGCUCUCUGGGACGGUACUGACGCUGAGACGCGAAAGCGUGGGGAGCAAACAGG
rnacentral:rRNA from 1 species